UAAUAGAAGGGACUUACUUGUGUGUCUGAACGGUGCAAUGCAGUGCUACCUCUCCGUCCUGACCUAGUUCCCUAAAAGCUGUAUAAGGCAUUCAGACUUGAGCAAAAUAACACAGCUGCUAGUGUGCUGCUCAAGCUCCCAGUAUGUUCAAAUACAGCUCUUCAUUCUGCAUGAAGGUUGCCUGAUUUCUUCCAGACUUACAGCAAAAGCUUUUGGAAAGGAAAGCUUUUGAUGCAGAAAGGAAAACAAUCAAAAGGGCCUCAGAUUUGAGAAUGUAGCAAUGAAGUCCACUAACUGUUCUGCAAGCAGGAUUUUAGGAUGAGCACUGAAUUUGCUGUAACAAGACCAUUCUCUUUGCUGCCUUUUGGUUAAUUUCCACAGGAGCUAAGAAAAUGUUAGCUGGAAGUGCUGGACUGCUGGAAUCCUGUUCAGAGAAGGUAUGUCUGUAAUUUCAUUUCAUGUGCCAGCAUCCAAGAAGGCUGUGUGUGUAGAUCACAGGAUCACAGAUGCUUCCUUUCUCUUGAUUGAACAGUAUUGUUUUUAAAAUGAGCAUUAAACUUUUAUAUACUAA